rnacentral:rRNA from 1 species
GACGAACGCUGGCGGCGUGCUUAACACAUGCAAGUCGAACGAGUGGCGAACGGGUGAGUAACACGUUGGUGACCUGCUCUGCACUUCGGGCUAAGCCUGGGAAACUGGGUCUAAUACCGGAUAGUGUGGGAUGGUCCCGCGGCGUAUCAGCUUGUUGGUGGGGUAUUGGCUACCAAGGCGCGACGGGUUGCCGGCCUGGGAGGGUGGACGGCCACAUUGGGACUGAGACACGGCCCAGACUCCUACGGGAGGCAGCAGUGGGGAAUAUUGGACAAUGGGCGCAAGCCUGAUGCAGCCAUGCCGCGUGUGUGAAGAAGGCCUUAGGGUUGUAAAGUACUGUUAGCGGGGAGGCGUUACCCGCAGAAGAAGCACCGGCUAACUCCGUGCCAGCAGCCGCGGUAAUAC